AUUGAACGCUGGCGGCAUGCUUUACACAUGCAAGUCGAACGGCAGCGCGGGCUUCGGCCUGGCGGCGAGUGGCGAACGGGUGAGUAAUGCAUCGGAACGUGCCCAGUAGUGGGGGAUAGCCCGGCGAAAGCCGGAUUAAUACCGCAUACGACCUGAGGGUGAAAGCGGGGGACCGAAAGGCCUCGCGCUAUUGGAGCGGCCGAUGUCGGAUUAGCUAGUUGGUGGGGUAAAGGCUUACCAAGGCGACGAUCCGUAGCUGGUCUGAGAGGACGACCAGCCACCCUGGGAUUGAGACACGGCCCAGACCCCUACGGGAGGCAGGAGGGGGGAAUUUGGGAAAAUGGGGGCAACCCUGACCCAGCCAUGCCGGGGGCGGGAAGAAGGCCUUCGGGUUGUAAACCGCUUUUGUUCGGGAAGAAAUCCUCUGGGCUAAUACCCCGGGGGGAUGACGGUACCGGAAGAAUAAGCACCGGCUAACUACGG
rnacentral:rRNA from 1 species